GUGUAUGCCUCCUUCCUUCAGGUACUGCUUUGCUUAUCCAUAUUCUGCUAAGACCAGAGAGAUUGUUUCUUGAAGCUAUCUGAUGCACCUAGGAUGAUGCCAAUGGCUGGGCCUAGAGCAGGGAAGAGUCAGACCUCAGCCUGAGCCUCUUGACCUGUCCGGAGACACACAUGGAGCAAGUCACCACCCCCGUGGCAUGAGCAUGUGGGAGAACAUGUCCUAGAAUCUGGUAAUAAAAGGCUCUGAC